GUAGGUGGCAAGCGUUGUCCGGGAAUUAUUGGGGCGUAAAGCGCGCGCAGGCGGUUCUUUAAGUCUGAUGUGAAAGCCCACGGGCUCAACCGUGGAGGGUCAUUGGAAACUGGAGAACUUGAGUACAGAAGAGGAAAGCGGAAUUCCACGUGUAGCGGUGAAAUGCGUAGAGAUGUGGAGGAACACCAGUGGCGAAGGCGGCUUUCUGGUCUGUAACUGACGCUGAGGCGCGAAAGCGUGGGGAGCAAGCAGGAUUAGAUACCCUGGUAGUGCACGCCGUAAACGAUGAGUGCUAAGUGUUAGGGGGUUUCCGCCCCUUAGUGCUGCAGCUAACGCAUUAAGCACUCCGCCUGGGGAGUACGGCCGCAAGGCUG
rnacentral:rRNA from 1 species